rnacentral:misc_RNA from 1 species
UUAAGUUCAGCGGGUAGUCCUACCUGAUUUGAGGUCAGAGCAUAAAUAUUGGGGUUAUCAGCAGCGACCACUUCAUAGACGAAACUUAUUACGCCUACUACGCGUCCACCGCUAAGUCAUUUAAGUCGAGCCGACGGCAACGACCACGUCCACACUAAGGAAACCCUUAGGUGAGAUUUCAUGACACUCAAACAGGCAUG